GACCUCUUAGCUCAGCGGUAGAGCAUCUGAUUCCAGCGUACCCGACGGGCUACCGCUUAGCCAUCAGGUAGUCAGCUUCCAGAAGGUCGUCCGUUCAAUCCGGGCAGAGGUCA